GGGUUAAGGGUCCGUAGCCGGUUUGAUCAGUCUUCGGGGAAAUCUGACGGCUCAACUGUUAGGCUUCUGGGGGAUACUGUCAAACUUGGAACCGGGAGAGGUAAGAGGUACUACAGGGGUAGGAGUGAAAUCUUGUAAUCCUUGUGGGACCACCAGUGGCGAAGGCGUCUUACCAGAACGGGUUCGACGGUGAGGGACGAAAGCUGGGGGA
rnacentral:rRNA from 1 species